GGGUUGUCGAAGUGGGGUCAGAUCUCUACAAGCCAUYGAGGAACUCCACGAUUACCAGCAUUUGAAAGAUCUGGGUGGAGGAUAUUUGACGUGGGUGGAUAAUGGAUUUGCCGUGGCUAAACCAACAAUCAAGACAACUGACUCAAAAGUAGCCAACCUUAAAGUUGAGCUAUGAUUUAUCCAUUACACAACAUAGUAAAUAUAUUUAUGAUUAGAUACCUAUCAAGACGUUGCCUACCACAUGUAUGAAUGUAUUAUUCUAAAGAAUUUCUGUCUUCCUGAUGCA